UACGUAGGGAGCAAGCGUUGUCCGGAAUCAUUGGGCGUAAAGCGCGCGUAGGCGGCCCUGUAAGUCCGCUGUGAAAGUCAAAGGCUCAACCUUUGAAAGCCGGUGGAUACUGCAGGGCUAGAGUCCGGAAGAGGCGAGUGGAAUUCCUGGUGUAGCGGUGAAAUGCGCAGAUAUCAGGAGGAACACCGGUGGCGAAGGCGGGUCUCUGGGCCGAUACUGACGCUGAGGAGCGAAAGCGUGGGGAGCGAACAGG
rnacentral:rRNA from 1 species